UCGUACGCAACCGCAACGGAUUUUAGUUUGCCUUGUACAGAAACUUAUGUAACCGCGUCCACUGAUCCGCAUCGUACGGAUCGCAUUAUCGAUUGUCAAACUAAAAUCCGUUGCGUACGAUGCGGGUCUGUGGACGCUUGACUUUAAUCUCUCCCUGGCACGAGAGCUUAAUUUCCCGACUCUGCACCCCCCACUACUGUUUAUAUGUGAACGUAUUUAAAGAAUGGCGGGAAGUUUGAAAAUGGCCAUGACCAACCAGCCAGAGCAAUGAGCAAUCUUUACAUUUACAUAUAUAAAAGUGUUUUGUUAUUGUUUUUGUAUUAGUGAAUUAUUUUAAUUUUAUCAAAUUUGCGUUUUAUAUUAAUAAAAUGUAUCCUUAGAAUUUGAUAACAAUUUAGUGAUGAUGAAAGAAUAAUAUAUUUUUUAAAUAACGCUUGAGCCUGUACCAUACGAGAACGAAAAAAGUUAUGGAAGAAUUUGAUGAUAUAUAACAAAUUUUUAUUAAGGUUUAUAGUUUCCAUAAAAAUACUGUGAGAUAAUUUAUACAAGAGCUGGUUCCUGGUUUCCAUUAUGUAAUUCUUCAGUAGGUAUGAUGAGCCUAAUAUCACAGAUCAAGUUUUAAUAACUUAUAUUAUGAGUUGUUUUUAUUUAUUGUAUGGUUUUGGUGGUAUACCUAUACAAAACAUAACUACUGAAAGAUUUAUAAAACCCAUGAUCGAAGUACUGGCAGAUAAUGUAGUUGUUGAUAUUGAUAGCGAAUGUGUUAACACAGAAGAUAUUCCAUUUAUGAGUACUAAUCUAUGAACAUGCUAUAAAAUUUAACAUUUAUAAUAAAUAUUUAAACCUUU
rnacentral:lncRNA from 1 species